GGAGAAGUGUCCGAGUGGUUUAAGGUGCAGUCCUGGAACGACUGUGUGUGCGCAAGUGCACCGAGAGUUCGAAUCUCUCCUUCUCCACCA
rnacentral:tRNA from 1 species